rnacentral:rRNA from 1 species
GACGAACCGUGCAAACGUUAUUCGGAAUCACUGGGCAUAAAGGGCGCGUAGGCGGCUUUCUAAGUCAGGGGUGAAAUCCGGCAGCUCAACUGUCGCAGUGCCUUUGAUACCGGAGAGCUCGAGGGAGGUAGGGGUCUGUGGAACUUCCGGUGGAGCGGUGAAAUGCGUUGAUAUCGGAAGGAACGCCGGUGGCGAAAGCGACGGACUGGAUCUCUUCUGACGCUGAGGCGCGAAAGCCAGGGGAGCAAACGGG